AGUAAAAGUAAAGGGUAGUGAUAUUCUGGACUUUUCCUCAGAGAGAGAGCCUGAACAAAGUGUAUGAUUCAAGUGAAUCUGACCUCACACAAGACUCGGGAAAUGCAACAAGGAGAGGCCACAUGCAAACACAAGGAGUUUCUAGAAUCUGAAGAAGUUCCUGUAUCAAUUCCAGUUGACAUGAAACAUCAGAGUAUUGUUCAGAUAAUAUAUGCUGGAUGCAGAGAGGAAGACAGGUAAAUGAGAACAUAGCUGUAAUUCCUCUGAUGAUGUUUGAUGUGCAGCAGCAUGGUCUCAAGAUUGUCAGCAAGAACAGACCCGUCACCAGCUGUAUGGAGAAAUACAAAGAGAGAAAAUAUAUCAGUGUAUGGACAGCUCAAGAGAAACAGAUAUUUAAGGAGAAAUACCCGCAGCAUCAAAAAACUUGCAAUCUUACUGCUUCAUUUCUUU